rnacentral:misc_RNA from 1 species
AACGCAUAUUGCGCUCGAGGCUUCGGCCGAGAGCAUGUCUGCCUCAGCGUCGGGUUAAUAUCACUCUCCCUUUUUUUACUCUGUGAAUGGGUAAAGACUACUCGGUGAGUGGACCUGGCUGUUCCAGCUGUUAUAGUUGUGCCUGAGCCUUUAACACGGCUCUGGGCUUUGCUAUAGCUAAGCGGCUGGAUCGGCUGAAGUGUAGAGGAUAACCGUGGACCCGCUAAGGGCCGCAACUGGGUAGGCUUUCAUUAGCUAAUCAUACUUUAGUUGUUGGUCUGGAUCCUAGCCGUUCAUCCCACAACCAGGAACCUUAACCCUUAUUUUCUCGACCUGAGCUCAGGCAAGGACACCCGCUGAACUUAA